ACGAACGCUGGCGGCGUGCCUAAUACAUGCAAGUAGAACGCUGAAGGAGGAGCUUGCUCUUCUGGAAGAGUUGCGAACGGGUGAGUAACGCGUAGGUAACCUGCCUGGUAGCGGGGGAUAACUAUUGGAAACGAUAGCUAAUACCGCAUAAGAUUGAAUAUCGCACGAUAAUUGAUUAAAAGAUGCAAAUGCAUCACUACCAGAUGGACCUGCGUUGUAUUAGCUAGUAGGUGAGGUAACGGCUCACCUAGGCGACGAUACAUAGCCGACCUGAGAGGGUGAUCGGCCACACUGGGACUGAGACACGGCCCAGACUCCUACGGGAGGCAGCAGUAGGGAAUCUUCGGCAAUGGGGGCAACCCUGACCGAGCAACGCCGCGUGAGUGAAGAAGGUUUUCGGAUCGUAAAGCUCUGUUGUAAGAGAAGAACGAGUGUGAGAGUGGAAAGUUCACACUGUGACGGUAUCUUACCAGAAAGGGACGGCUAACUACGUGCCAGCAGCCGCGGUAAUACGUAGGUCCCGAGCGUUGUCCGGAUUUAUUGGGCGUAAAGCGGGCGCAGGCGGUUAGAUAAGUCUGAAGUUAAAGGCUGUGGCUUAACCAUAGUACGCUUUGGAAACUGUUUAACUUGAGUGCAGAAGGGGAGAGUGGAAUUCCAUGUGUAGCGGUGAAAUGCGUAGAUAUAUGGAGGAACACCGGUGGCGAAAGCGGCUCUCUGGUCUGUAACUGACGCUGAGGCUCGAAAGCGUGGGGAGCGAACAGGAUUAGAUACCCUGGUAGUCCACGCCGUAAACGAUGAGUGCUAGGUGUUAGGCCCUUUCCGGGGCUUAGUGCCGUAGCUAACGCAUUAAGCACUCCG
rnacentral:rRNA from 1 species